UCCUGAUAUCUCUACAACCGGUCGAGCCUGAUUAGCACCGAAAUCUGCCGUUGGCCUCCUUGUCCCGUGCAGGGGUAGCCCGUGUGGACGGCUCUGGUCCUGGGUGCAGUGCAAGUGGCUCUGUGGCGGGUCGGAGCGGGGCAGACACACAGCUGGCCCUUGUAAUAUGGUAAAUACUGAAGCUGUAGCCGCCAAACAACCCCUACAUUAAAAAACAGGGUUUUUAUAUUACACAUGUAUAAAUAUAUAUAUAUAGAACGCAAAUGACAUUUACAAAGAGAAUACAAACCGCGGGACAGACCAUUUCCGUGUGUGUAUAUCUGUGUAUGUGUGUG